GAGAGGGUGAGAGCCCCGUC
rnacentral:snRNA from 1 species